GACAGAGGGUGCAAACGUUGUUCGGAAUUACUGGGCGUAAAGCGCAUGUAGGCGGUUCGUAAAGUCAGAUGUGAAAGCCCUGGGCUUAACUCAGGAAGUGCAUUUGAAACUCACGAACUUGAGUCCCGGAGAGGAAGGCGGAAUUCUCGGUGUAGAGGUGAAAUUCGUAGAUAUCGAGAGGAACAUCGGUGGCGAAGGCGGCCUUCUGGACGGUGACUGACGCUGAGAUGCGAAAGCGUGGGGAGCAAACAGG
rnacentral:rRNA from 1 species